GUUGGUAUAAUGGUGCUACUUGAAGCCUGAAAACGAUCGCCCAUAAAAAAAUAAAAAAAAAACGAGCAAACAGCAGUAGCAGACGUCCUGACUGGAUUCUACGUUAGCAUAGAUCCCUCCAGAGUUUUGUGCACACGGUUUAGGUAAAAAUGAAAAAGGUUGAGGUUUUACAUUUAGUUCAGUAUUACCUGUUGCCUGUGUCCUUGUCUUUUGGGAAAAUACUUUACACCAGUAAUGGCUCAAAGAGGAUUCCAUUUUUUUUUUUUUUCUUUUACUGUGCUGCAAUUGUUUACUGGAUUAUUUGUGCCAUUAAUUAGUGUCAACUAAUUUUUAUUCAAUCUCCACACAGGAUAUGCUUGUGAAGAUGGAAUAUGGGGGAGAGCAGAAGUGCGUUGAAGUUCCACAAAGGGAUGAAUGAAGGACAUGCAUAUUGUAUUGAAGAAAUAAGUGAUGAGAAAGCUGGUUUUUGCAUUUACCAUGUCAGACCUUUUGAUAAACAAAAUUCUAAUGAAAAAACCUAGGAUCACUGGACUAAAUGACUACAGACCCGUGGCUCUGACAUCUGUAGUCAUGAAGUCUUUUGAGCGCCUGGUUCUCUCCUAUCUCAAGACCCUCACGGCCCCCCUCCUGGACCCCCUGCAGUUUGCAUACAGAGCCAACAGGUCUGUAGAUGACGCCAUCAACAUGGCCCUACACUUCAUCCUGCAGCAUCUGGACUCCCCAGGAACCUACGCCAGGAUCCUGUUUGUGGACUUCAGCUCUGCCUUCAAUACCAUCCUUCCAGACCAUCUCCAAGGCAAGCUUUCCCAGAU
ensembl:lncRNA